rnacentral:rRNA from 1 species
UACGAAGGGUGCAAGCGUUACUCGGAAUUACUGGGCGUAAAGCGUGCGUAGGUGGUUGUUUAAGUCUGUUGUGAAAGCCCUGGGCUCAACCUGGGAAUUGCAGUGGAUACUGGGCGACUAGAGUGUGGUAGAGGGUAGUGGAAUUCCCGGUGUAGCAGUGAAAUGCGUAGAUAUCUGGAAGAACACCAAAGGCGAAGGCAGUGUCCUGGGUGGUCGCUGACGCUGAGAGGCGAAAGCCAGGGGAGCGAACGGG